rnacentral:lncRNA from 1 species
GGUGGACCUCGAGGUCCCCGACGACGUCUACAUCCUCGACCACGCCGAGGAGGAAGGGAUCGACCUGCCCUACUCCUGCCGCGCCGGCUCCUGCUCCUCCUGCGCCGGGAAGGUGGUCUCCGGCCAGCUGGACCAGUCCGACCAGAGCUUCCUCGACGACGACCAGAUCGAGGCGGGGUGGGUGCUCACCUGCGCCGCGUACCCCACCUCGGACCUCGUCAUCGAGACCCACAAGGAGGAGGAGCUCACCGCUUGAAUUCACUGAUUUGUUUAGUUCGACCCGUUUCCACCGUGCGCGUGUACCAUGCACGACGUACGAACUGUAUCAGGAUAUUGAGGAGUAGUACAUGCUGCUGUGGUCGGAUUUUGAUUGCUUAUUACUGCCCAGUGUUAAUUUUCUCAAGAACAUUGCUAUACACACGACGCCAUGUGCACGAUUUAUGGACGACACUGUUAAUCAAGCUGUUGGUGUUAGAAAGCAAACUUCAGUACAUCGUCAGAUUUUGCAUCGUCCCUGAA